GAAAACAGCAAUAUAUACUAUUAUUAGAUCAUGGUCAGUAAGUACAUGGAAACGCUACUAUGUAAUAAUUGUACUGAGAGAGAGGGGGGCGGUGGAACCCCCUCUUCUAUCAUCAUAAACUAUCUCUACAUUAACCUAACAAAAAGCAUUAUUCUAGAAACUAAGACAACCAGUGUCAUGUCUAGACAAAAAUAUGCAAAAGUACUAACGACACACUAACUACUCUAUGCGAUGACCUCGUCAUGCUUCUAAAACCUCAGGUCAUGCUUCUAAAACCUCAGCCGCAAUCAUUAGGCCGCAGGUGCCACAUCAUAACCAUCAUCGUCGUCAUCAUCGUCACCCUCGCCAUUGUUUUCUCGGUAUAACCGAUCAUCAAAUGCCAUGUCAUGCGUCUCUUUAAAGACAAAACCAAAAGGAGAUGACUUCUCAUUGGUGACAACAGCCAUUGCACUGGAGGAGGAGGAAAGAGGACAAAGGAAAACAAAAAGCUGGUGGUAAUUUGGAGUGAGGAGCGAAGCGGUACUUGGCUCUGUAAUUUAUACACUGAAAAACAGAGUUGGGGUGUAGAUCUUUGUCGAUGGAGAGGGAUGCCUUCAG
rnacentral:lncRNA from 1 species